rnacentral:rRNA from 1 species
CGGACGGGUGAGUAAUGUCUGGGAAACUGCCCGAUGGAGGGGGAUAACUACUGGAAACGGUAGCUAAUACCGCAUAACGUCGCAAGACCAAAGAGGGGGACCUUCGGGCCUCUUGCCAUCGGAUGUGCCCAGAUGGGGUUAGCUAGUAGGUGGGGUAACGGCUCACCUAGGCGACGAUCCCUAGCUGGUCUGAGAGGAUGAUCAGCCACACUGGGACUGAGACGCGGCCCAG